UACGAAGGGUGCAAGCGUUACUCGGAAUUACUGGGCGUAAAGCGUGCGUAGGCGGUUCGUUAAGUCUGUCGUGAAAGCCCUGGCUCAACCUGGGAAUUGCGAUGGAUACUGGCGAGCUAGAGUACGGUAGAGGAUGGUGGAAUUCCCGGUGUAGCGGUGAAAUGCGUAGAGAUCAGGCGGAACACCCGUAGCGAAGGCGGCCAGCUGGCCGUCCCUGACACUGAGGCGCGAAGGCGUGGG
rnacentral:rRNA from 1 species